UGCUCUGGUUGGCAGGGUGCUCUCCGAAUUGUAGGAAAUUGUUUAACUGAACAAAGCUCUGCUUCAAAAAAAAGAUUUGCCGGUUGUUCUGGAUUCAUAGGAUGGGUUUAGAUGUUGUAAUUCUUUAGGAAAAAAUAUUUUAUGAGAGGCAUUCAUUUUACAUAGAUAGGAAUGUGAAAAAUGAAGCAGAUUUGUUUUCCUACAGAAUCAUUGCCGUUGUGAGUUGGUCCUGCAACAAUGUGGUUUAGCUGGGAUAUAUAUAUAUAUAUUUAUGCAUCCUGUGGUACAAUUUGCUUUCAAGUCAAUACUGCCUACCUAUUUGAGUAAAUUUUUUCUGGAUAAUCAUAUUUGAAUACUAUGGACUUGAGCAAAUUCCUCAUAUAUGGUCUUGUUUUUUCAAGUUUUAGUGCCCAAGCGCUAGUGGUUGGUUCCACAAAGAUUUUGUUCACAACCAGUCAGGCCAAACAAGCUCAAGCUCUGAAAUUAGUUUCUAUUUAUUAUCCUAAGAAACACUUGGUAUUUUCUUUCAAAAGUGGGGUAAAAAAUAUCACUUUUUUUUAAUAAAAAGAAUACACUUUUAGCAUUUCAAAUCACACCCAAUUUAUCAUUUUUGUGAAUAAUUGAAUUAUCACGCUUUUAUAUGUUAAAAAAAACUACUCCUCAGUUACUUGUCAAAAUACGGAGAGUGAAGUGGAUGAAAUAUUUUUUGGUAAAACUACGAGGUUGGUUUUUAUUUCUUCAAAAAUUCAAAUGAAUUACAACUAAUAUUUAUCAUCAAUUCAACAUAUUUUGCAAGUUCAAUGAUAAAAUGAUUGGGACAUCUUUUGAAAUUUAAAACUAUGCAUACAUAAAAAUAAAUAAAAUGAAACUGUCGUAUUAUGAUUUAUUUUACGAACUUAGGAUUAACGAUCUUUACAAAAUUAAUGAAAACAAAGUAAUUUAGUAAAGGCAAAUAAAUCAAAUUGUUAAUUCCUUAAGUAACAAAUUAGAUGAUUUUUUUUGUCAUAAAUAAAUCAAAAUAGUACUAAUAAAAAAAAGGUAAUCCGUGUUUUGUGACGAGUCUUUACAACUGCCCAAAAUUCACUAUUUAGCCCUAAUUUUUUUAUGCUUUUCCCUCUGUUUUUACUUUCCCCUAUUCCUCUCAUCGGCCGGCGAUUUCUGCCGGUGCAUCAUCUCAACAAACACACACUCGGAAACCAAACGGCCGACGGUCUGACACCGUCACCGCUGUUCCACUUCCCCCGCCGUAUCUCGCGCCACCAGUAGCUGUAAGUUGAUCGAGUUCCACCGAUUGGUGUUUACACUCAUGGUAUUUUCAUGGAAAAGGGAAAGCACUGGUGAAAGUUAUUAGGCUUUCCUUGCAAACAAUCUAUAUUUGUCUUCAAAACUUCCAGGACAUUUUGAUUUUGAGUUUACAGACUAAGAUUUUGUAGAAAUUUGUAGAUUCUGCUUAUGGAGCUGUUUGACAUUGACAUUGAAAUCUGAAUUAUAAUGAAUUGAUGAUGUACAGAUUGAAGAUAGAAAAAACGCAGACCCUAGACUUUAUCUUUCUCCUAAUUCAAUGUGCACACCCACUAAAGAUGAGAAACCACGGCUUUAGUGUCUGCGUAUAUAUUUUGCCUUGAAAAUCUACUAAACAUAUAAUCAUGUACUCUUUAAAACUGAUUUUAGUGGUUAUAAUUUGUCUUAUCAGUUAUUGGUCUUUUCAGUGUUGAAAGUGUGCUCAUGGACCUUUUAGAUGAUAUUUUUGCUGGUGGUGCUUCAAAGACUGGUAAGGAGGGAGAAAAUGUUUUUUCUUUUAAAUUUGCGAUGAAAGUUAUUCUCAUUCUUUCAAGGUUAAGCUUAAUAUUGUUAUUUAAUGCAGUCAAGGCUGGUGGCAAGUUUCAACCCAAGGCCAAGCCCCGCUCGUUGAAGAAAGGUCCAGCUGUUGCAUCCUCUUCUUUGACGUCAAAACCCACUGGUGAUACUGUAGCAACUGAUUCCUCUGAAGCUCUUAAGAGUGGAAAGAAUUCUCAAAAUUGUUAGCUUUCUUGCCUUUAUGUUAUUGUUAUUUUCUUUUCCAGAAUAUUUUAUUGGUGCAAAACUUGAUCGCAUAUUAACUGUUGAGGCCCUGAGGGUCAUCGAAACUGUUGAGUGCUUUUGUGCAUAAUUUAUGAAGAGGCAAGUAUUAUUGAUGUCAAAAUCUCUUAGUGCUGUUUCAUAAUAAAAGGGAGCUAAAUUAGCAACAAAAAAUAAAAUAACAAUACCCGCCUAAUAUAACUUAAAUAGUAGGGUGAAACUGGCUACCAGACGCAAUUCCUACUUUAAGGCCUCAGAGGACACCUGACCCGACCCGUAUAAAAAACUUGCGCAAAAAGACUAGCUUCAGUCUUCGUCUACAUAAAGAGGAAAAAACCUCUCGACUCAUUUCAUUGCGCUUCUCUUUAGAUCUCACAUCUCAGGUAGCUUUCUAUCUCUUCAAAUGGCCUUUUUUUUUUUCUAUUACCGAUGCGGUUGAUCAAUAUAAACCCUCUCCCUUUCCCCAAUUUCUUGGUAUUUUCUUGAUUUUUUUAAUGUAUUUUUUGUUGAAUUCAUUGAUGGGUUUGUGUUAUUCUAUUGAUAAGUAAAUUAGUUGAACUUUUUGGUUUAUGUUUUUAAGAAAAUGUAUGGAAAAUUUUGGACUUUUUGUGAAAGUAGAAAGAGGGUUUACAUGAGAAGGAGUAUAAUUGAUAGUAAGUUUAAUUUAUACCUUGCAAGUAAAUAUUGAUAAUUGACGACAAAUAUUUUACCAGUAGCGCGAUAAGUUCAUUUCUAUAGCAGUUCUGGUUGUAAAGAAUUGUUUUAAUUAGAGAAAAAGACAGACAAAUUUCAUUAAGAUGUGCAAUGUGGAAAAUUUGGCUUUUGGGUGUCACUAGUUAGGAAAGUUGGGUGGAUAUCUAGUGUUUAUGAAGUACAAGUUGCAGAAUACGACUAGGGGUGUUUAAGAAAACUUUAAGGGAUGUAUGACUUGAUUUUUUUAACCCUGCCCAGAAGCUCUCGCACUUUUUUGCUCCGUUGGUGACUCAAACCCCAACCUUAGGGCUGGGGGUGGAGGGUGAUUACCAUGUGAGCAACCCGUCUUGUCGUAUGACCUGAUUUAGGUAGUUAUGCCAUGGUCUUUUUGGUGUGUAUUUGAAAAGAUAAAUCACAGCACCACACAAGUUAUAGAAGGGUUUUGAAACAGGACCAUUUUAUAAAAAAUUCUUCAUUUGGAAUGUCCAUUGAAGUCUUCUCUAGGAUGGCUUUGAGUGUGGAAUUCAUGUUUAAUGUAUUGAAUAACUGUGCCUACCUCAGUUGGAGAUUCAAGUGUUAAAAAGGAGAGAGAUCUAGUUAGAGUUCGUCUACAUUGAUUCUCUCCUUGUAGUAAACAAUAUUUCCUUAGCAGUUAAAGGCAUGUUUAGUCUAAGUUGUAAGAUUGCUGCAGUGUUUGCUGAGUUUUAAUACUAUACCCACUUGGCUUUGUUAACUCUCAAUUUUAUAGUUCCUUUCUUUAUCUCUUCUUUUUGAACAAUGCUCAAGUUCUUGUGCCAAUAAGGGAGUCCCCUGCCGAAGUAUUAGUUUUUUAUUGGAAUAUAAGGAGUGAAAGUGUAAAUGUACCAAACUUUAGCCUUAAUCUACAGAAACCUAAUAUAAGAAGAUAUCUGAUCCUGACAGCUAAGCAUUUACCUUAGCUGCCUUAAAUCCCUUCUUACAAUUGGUCCUUUUUAUAAUCCUCUGUUCACAUUUUACAAAAAAAUAAUCUUGGAGCAACACAUCACCAAUCUUUGGUAAAAAAUUGAUCUUUUCUUAAUUGAAAUCUAGGAUAUAUUAAACCUUGGAUCACAUUGCUCCUGAUUUGAUUUCUUGAGAAGUCCCCUCCGUCUUUGUGCCAAGUGCGAAUUGUAUUCUGUAUCCAAUUAUUAUACAAUUGAGCAACUCUUAAAAUCUUUUGGUUUCAAAUUGCAAGAACUGAAGUUGACACGGGUGGUACUAGCCUCCAGUCUGGCAAUUGUAUUUAUCUUACUCUAGUAGGCAAGCCACAUCUUAGCGUUUCAAGAAAGAUCUACGACAAAGUGAUUUGUCUUCUUUGCUUUGGCUACCAGUAAAAUGCUACCAGAACCUACCAAAUUCAUGAGUCUGCAAUCACUCGAAGUAGAGCUCUUCCCCACAAACAAUUUUCCCUCCAAGUUUUUCACAUUUCCUUCUGGAACUUCAUACGCAAUAAUGCUCCGUGUGUUUUUCUUCUUCUUUUUGAUUCAAAUCCUAAGAAGUUGCACCAUAAAUUCUGUUAUGUCCCCAGUUGUAUUUCCUGGCUCUUUGCCCUGACUUGGAUAGUCUCUUUUCAUCUGCAACUUGCAUUGUGAGCUUGUUGCCCACAAUGGCCUUGCUAAUGAUUCCCUUUUCGACAAACUGGACAGUAUUUUCAGAAGGUUCCUUGCCUUGUUGGAUCUCAAAAGGUGCUGGACUUGAUGAAAAUAAUCCUCCUAAUUACCAUUGUUUAAUCUGUCAUUAUACAUGAUGUAGAUGCAAUGCUCUCUGAAUUGUAGGAAAUUGUUUAACUGAACAAAGUUCUGCUUCAAAAAAAAAGAUUUGCUGGUUGUUCUGGAUUCAUAGGAUGGGUUUAGAUGUUUUAAUUCUUUAGGAAAAAAUAUUUUAUGAGAGGCAUUCAUUUUACAUAGAUAGGAAUGUGAAAAAUGAAGCAGAUUUGUUUUCCUACAGAAUCAUUGCUGUUGCGAGUUAGUCAUGCAACAAUGUGGUUUAGCUGGGAUAUAUAUAUUUAUGUAACCUGUGGUGCAAUUUGCUUUCAAGUCAAUACUGCCUAGCUCAAUUCAUUUGAGUAAAUUUUUUCUGGAUAAUCAUAUUUGAAUACUAUGGACUUGAGCAGAUUCCUCAUAUAUGGUCUUGUUUUUUCAAGUUUUAGUGCCCAAGCGCUAGUGGUUGGUUCCACAAAUAGAUUUUCUUCACAACCAGUUUGGCCAAACAAGCUCAAGCUCUGAAAUUAGUUUCUGUUAUCCUUAGAAACACUAAUUUUCUUUCAUAAGUGGGGUAAAAAUAACACUUUUAGCUUUUCAAAACACACACAAUAUAUCAUUUUAGUGAAUAUUUGAAUUAUCACGCUUUUAUAUGUUAAAACUAUUAUCAGUUACUUGUCAAAAUACACUUCUGUAACUUGUAAGUACAUAAUGUAUAACUGGAGAGUGCACAAGAUGAAGUGGAUGAAAUAUUUUUUUGGUAAAACUACGGAGUUGACUUUUGUUUCUUCAAAAAUUCAAAUGAAUUACAACUAAUAUUUAUCAUCAAUUCAACAUUUUUUGCAAGUUUAAUGAUAAAAUGAUUGGGACACCUUUUGAAAUCAAAAACUACGCAUACAUAAAAAUAAAUAAAAUGAAACUGUCGUAUUAUGAUUUAUUUUAGGAACUUAGGAUAAAAGAUCUUUACAAAUUAAUGAAAGCUCCAGCUGUUGCAUCCUCUUCUUUGACGUCAAAACCCACUGGUGAUACUGUAGCAACUGAUUCCUCUGAAGCUCUUAAGAGGCAAAGAAUUCUCAAAAUUGUUAGCUUUCUUGCCUUUAUAAUAAAAUAACAAUAUCCGCC
rnacentral:lncRNA from 1 species